rnacentral:rRNA from 1 species
CCUACGGGUGGCAGCAGUGAGGAAUAUUGGUCAAUGGGCGCGAGCCUGAACCAGCCAAGUAGCGUGAAGGAUGACUGCCCUACGGGUUGUAAACUUCUUUUAUAAAGGAAUAAAGUGAGGCACGCGCGCCUUUUUGUAUGUAUUUUAUGAAUAAGGAUCGGCUAACUCCGUGCCAGCAGCCGCGGUAAUACGGAGGAUCCGAGCGUUAUCCGGAUUUAUUGGGUUUAAAGGGAGCGUAGAUGGGUUGUUAAGUCAGUUGUGAAAGUUUGCGGCUCAACCGUAAAAUUGCAAUUGAUACUGGCAGCCUUGAGUGCAGUAGAGGUAGACGCAAUUCGUGGUGUAGCGGUGAAAUGCUUAGAUAUCACGAAGAACUCCGAUUGCGAAGGCAGCCUACUAAGCUGCCACUGACAUUGAUGCUCGAAAGUGUGGGUAUCAAACGGGAUUAGAUACCCUUGUAGUC